GACGAACGCUGGCGGCGUGCUUAACACAUGCAAGUCGAACGGAAAGGCCUCUUUCGGGGGGUACUCGAGUGGCGAACGGGUGAGUAACACGUGAGUAACCUGCCCUUGACUUUGGGAUAACUUCAGGAAACUGGGGCUAAUACCGGAUAGGAGCUCCUGCUGCAUGGUGGGGGUUGGAAAGUUUCGGCGGUUGGGGGUGGAAUCGCGGCUUAUCAGCUUGUUGGUGGGGUAGUGGCUUACCAAGGCUUUGACGGGUAGCCGGCCUGAGAGGGUGACCGGCCACAUUGGGACUGGGAUACGGCCCAGACUCCUACGGGAGGCAGCAGGGGGGAAUAUUGCACAAUGGGUGGAAGCCUGAUGCAGCAACGCCGUGUGCGGGAGGACGGCCUUCGGGUUGGAAACCGCUUUCGCUCAUGACGAAGCUUUGUGUGACGGUAGUGGGUAAAGAAGCACCGGCUAACUACGUG
rnacentral:rRNA from 1 species